rnacentral:lncRNA from 1 species
GUGGGUUUUUCUGCAAAUAAAGGCGAUUUUUCAAAAUUCUUGAUAAGUAGCGACGGUUUUACACAAAACUGACAGGAACUAUUUGUCGACCACGAUUUCUCCAGCGAUUUUUUCAGGAGUUAAAAUUUCCGGUAAUGCAAAAAAAAAUAUAAAAUCCUAAAUUUUUGUAGUGAUUUAAAAAAAAUAUAAGUAAUCAUUAUAUAUAGUGAUUAAUUUAGAUAUGAAUUUAUAAACUAAUAUUUUAGUCUAUAUUAUAAAUAGAAAAAUAUAAUUGAAAUAUAUAACUCUGAAUAUUCAGAUUUGUGUUACCUGCAUUUUCGAAACCCUGCUUCUGUUUGACUUGCUGGAGUAUUCAAAGUUUCUCUUCUCACUCACGAACUUCAUUACCCGGUUUCAAUUUUCUUUUUUGUUUACCCAAUGUUUUCAUAAAAUUUCGAUGUCAGUAUAUAAAUUUGAUGCACUUUUCUUCCCUCUCUGCAAUCCCACGGUCUUAGUCCGCUCAUGUUCAACAACAUGCAAGUUACAAAAAUAAUUACUUUAGAAAGAGAAUGAGGAUUUUAUAAGUUAAAAAGUAAUUGUAGUUUGGUGGAUAGGAAAAUAGAACUAAGGACAAAGUAAAUUAAG